GGGCCCGUAGCUCAGCCGGUUAGAGCACCUGCCUUUUAAGCAGGGUGUCAUGAGUUCAAGCCUCAUCGGGCCCUCCA
rnacentral:tRNA from 1 species